AGAACAUCUCAAUAUUUUUGCAAGGGAUGAUAUUGAUGCAGCUGCUGAAGCAUUAGACGGGAUGCCAUUGAAGAAAUUAUAUUCAGUGAUAAACAGGGCUGCCACUGGAAAGGAAAAGAUUGAUAUAAAUUACUUCUUUGAUGUAUUGGGUGAUGAUGUAUUUACUUAAAAUGCCAUUUCGGGUUGCACUUUUUUAUUUACUUAAAAAAAUUAUGCAUUACAAUGCGUUGAAUUUUCUGAAAA